CUUCACUGUACUGCUCAGACCUCUCCAUCCUGGUGGCAAGGGCUUAGACCAUUAUUCAUGGUCUGACUGGCCUCGAGGUGGCUGUCUCGCCUUUGAAAAAGGGCAGACACAGAGCAUGUUCAGAGCACGGAGCCAUACUGUGCGAUUUCUUCAAAGAGAGCUUAACCACAGAAUUUGGAUUAAUGAAUGACGUAACUGCUUCAGGGCAACACACCCUCACUGCAGCUGCUUAGCCCAGGAAGCAGCAAGGUCAAUACAAGGAGAGCCACAGGCCUGGGGAGAUGCAUGCCUUCCUUCCUGGCCACGUGGAUCUCACUACUUAGCCCAGAUGGCCUGCGAGAAGGACAAAGCCAAGCACUUCACAACACUGUCAGUUGCUGUCCUGAAGAAGGUGGCCAGGAGCUCUAGAAGGAUUCAAAGCCCCAGGGAUUUUUGGUUUUUAUGUAUACACUUCUCUUUACAUACUUGUUCCUCAACAUCCAAUCAGCCUUGCAGGGAUGAUGUAAUAGCCAGAAAAAUAAGUGAACAGAAGAUUCCGGGUUCUACUUUAUGCCAAUUUUUCUUAAAUAUCUCAGUCACUAGAAAAAGAUCUAUUUGAAAAUCUUGCUCUGAGCAGUUUCUGUCUUGGGCCCAGUUGUUUGAGGAGCCUGUUGAAUUUUUAAAUUUAUUAGUGUUCCCAUGCUUCAUUCAUUGGCAUAUAUGUAUAUUCUCUAUACUUUAUAAUUACAAGUAAGCUCUUGAUAAUAAAAAGUAACUGUCA